AACGAACGCUGGCGGCAUGCCUAACACAUGCAAGUCGAACGAGACCUUCGGGUCUAGUGGCGCACGGGUGCGUAACGCGUGGGAACCUGCCCUUAGGUUCGGAAUAACUCCCCGAAAGGGGUGCUAAUACCGGAUAAUGUCUUCGGACCAAAGAUUUAUCGCCUUUGGAUGGGCCCGCGUUGGAUUCGCUAGUUGGUAGGGUAAAAGCCUACCAAGGCGACGAUCCAUAGCUGGUCUGAGAGGAUGAUCAGCCACACUGGGACUGAGACACGGCCCAGACUCCGACGGGAGGCAGCAGUGGGGAAUAUUGGACAAUGGGCGAAAGCCUGAUCCAGCAAUGCCGCGUGAGUGAUGAAGGCCUUAGGGUUGUAAAGCUCUUUUACCCGGGAUGAUAAUGACAGUACCGGGAGAAUAAGCACCGGCUAACUCCGUG
rnacentral:rRNA from 1 species